rnacentral:rRNA from 1 species
CCUACGGGCGGCAGCAGUGAGGAAUAUUGGUCAAUGGGCGCGAGCCUGAACCAGCCAAGUAGCGUGAAGGAUGACUGCCCUAUGGGUUGUAAACCUCUUUUGUCAGGGAGCAACGCCGGCUACGUGUAGCCGGACUGAGAGUACCUGAAGAAAAAGCAUCGGCUAACUCCGUGCCAGCAGCCGCGGUAAUACGGAGGAUGCGAGCGUUAUCCGGAUUUAUUGGGUUUAAAGGGUGCGUAGGCGGAAUGCCAAGUCAGCGGUAAAAUCGCGGGGCUCAACCCCGAAACUGCCUCUAAUACUGUUGGACUAGAGAAUAGUUGCGGUAGGCGGAAUGUAUGGUGUAGCGAUGAAAUGCUUAGAGAUCAUACAGAACACCGAUUGCGAAGGCAGCUUACCAAACUAGAUCUGACGUUGAGGCACGAAAGCGUGGGUAGCAAACAGGAUUAGAUACCCGGGUAGUC